rnacentral:rRNA from 1 species
ACUUGCCGCGUGCUAAUACAUGCAAGUCGAGCGGACUUGAUGGAGUGCUUGCACUCCUGAUGGUUAGCGGCGGACGGGUGAGUAACACGUAGGCAACCUGCCCUCAAGACUGGGAUAACUACCGGAAACGGUAGCUAAUACCGGAUAAUUUAUUUCACAGCAUUGUGGAAUAAUGAAAGACGGAGCAAUCUGUCACUUGGGGAUGGGCCUGCGGCGCAUUAGCUAGGUGGUGGGGUAAUGGCUCACCAAGGCGACGAUGCGUAGCCGACCUGAGAGGGUGAACGGCCACACUGGGACUGAGACACGGCCCAGACUCCUACGGGAGGCAGCAGUAGGGAAUCUUCCGCAAUGGGCGAAAGCCUGACGGAGCAACGCCGCGUGAGUGAUGAAGGUUUUCGGAUCGUAAAGCUCUGUUGCCAAGGAAGAACGUCUUCUAGAGUAACUGCUAGGAGAGUGACGGUACUUGAGAAGAAAGCCCCGGCUAACUACGUGCCAGCAGCCGCGGUAAUACGUAGGGGGCAAGCGUUGUCCGGAAUUAUUGGGCGUAAAGCGCGCGCAGGCGGUUCUUUAAGUCUGGUGUUUAAACCCGAGGCUCAACUUCGGGUCGCACUGGAAACUGGGGAACUUGAGUGCAGAAGAGGAGAGUGGAAUUCCACGUGUAGCGGUGAAAUGCGUAGAUAUGUGGAGGAACACCAGUGGCGAAGGCGACUCUCUGGGCUGUAACUGACGCUGAGGCGCGAAAGCGUGGGAGAGCAAACAGGAUUAGAUACUCUGGUAGUCCACGCCGUAAACGAUGAAUGCUGGUGUUAGGGGUUUCGAUACCCUUGGUGCCGAAGUUAACACAUUAAAGCAUUCCGCCUGGGGGAGUACGGUCGCAAGACUGACACUCAGAAGAAUUGACGGAGACCCGCACAGCAGUGGUAGUAUGUGUUUUAUUCAGAAGCAUCGUGAAGAUCUACGAGUCUGACUUCCUCUGAAUCUCUAGAGAUAGAGGCGUCUCGGACAGAGUGACAGUGCUGCAUGUGGUCGUCAGCUCGGUCGUGAGAUGUGGAUAGUCCGCAC